AACGAACGCUGGCGGCAUGCCUAACACAUGCAAGUCGAACGAGACCUUCGGGUCUAGUGGCGCACGGGUGCGUAACGCGUGGGAACCUGCCCUUAGGUUCGGAAUAACUCCCCGAAAGGGGUGCUAAUACCGUAUAAUGUCUUCGGACCAAAGAUUUAUCGCCGUUGGAUGGGCCCGCGUUGGAUUAGCUAGUUGGUAGGGUAAAAGCCUACCAAGGCGACGAUCCAUAGCUGGUCUGAGAGGAUGAUCAGCCACACUGGGACUGAGACACGGCCCAGACUCGUACGGGAGGGAGCAGUGGGGAAUAUUGGAGACUGGGCGAAGGCCUGAUACAGCAAUGCCGCGUGAGAGAUGAAGGCCUUAGGGUUGUAAAGCUCUUUUACCCGGGAUGAUAAUGACAGUACCGGGAGAAUAAGCUCCGGCUAACUCCGUG
rnacentral:rRNA from 1 species